UGGGGAAUUUUGGACAAUGGGGGAAACCCUGAUCCAGCCAUCCCGCGUGUGCGAUGAAGGCCUUCGGGUUGUAAAGCACUUUUGGCAGGAAAGAAACGUCAUGGGUUAAUACCCCGUGAAACUGACGGUACCUGCAGAAUAAGCACCGGCUAACUACGUGCCAGCAGCCGCGGUAAUACGUAGGGUGCAAGCGUUAAUCGGAAUUAUUGGGCGUAAAGCGUGCGCAGGCGGUUCGGAAAGAAAGAUGUGAAAUCCCAGAGCUCAACUUUGGAACUGCAUUUUUAACUACCGGGCUAGAGUGUGUCAGAGGGAGGUGGAAUUCCGCGUGUAGCAGUGAAAUGCGUAGAUAUGCGGAGGAACACCGAUGGCGAAGGCAGCCUCCUGGGAUAACACUGACGCUCAUGCACGAAAGCGUGGGGAGCAAACAGG
rnacentral:rRNA from 1 species